ensembl:lncRNA
AUGGAGACAUUAAGGCUCGGAGGCUUCCUUCCGCCUUGUACUUCAGGUCCUGCUAACUAUGUGGACAGGGCAGCCUGCCUUCCUCCUCCUCAAGACGUCACUCUGAGGGCCUCUGUUCACAGCCCCCACCCCCACAGGAGGGACAGGACAAUGCACAGUAAAGAGCACCUUGUUCAUAGUUUCCAAAUAUUCUACACUCAACAGCUACUACUUUUGUAUGGAGGGGAAAUCACAGUAAAGGAGGUGGUGGCAUAUCCAGUUAAACAUACCAACCAUUACUCCCAGCGCUUUCUCUGGCUUGAGCCCAGGAAUUCGAGGCUGCACUGAGCUGUGAUUAUCCCACUCCACUCCAGCUUGGGUGACUAAGUAGAAUCCUAUCUCAAAAAAAAAAAAAGAAAGAAAGAAAAUAAAAAUUAUAAAGGGCUGGGGGCAGUGGCUCACGCCUGUAAUCCCAGCACUUUGGGAGGCUGAGGCUAGUGGAUCACCUGAGGUCAAGAGUUCAAAACUAGCCUGGCCAACAUGGUGAAAGAGUCUGUACUAAAAUUACAAAAAGUAGCCAAGUGUGGUGGUGCAUGCCUGUAAUCCCAGCUACUUGGGAGGCUGAGGGACAAGAAUUGCUUGAACCAGGGAGGUGGAGGUUGCAGUGAGCUGAGAUCCUGCGUGACGGGAGCAAAACUCCAUCAUUUUGGGAGGAUGAGGCAGGCAGAUCACUUGAGGUCAGGAGUUUGAGACCAGCUUGGCCAACAUGGUGAAACCCCAUCUCUGCUAAAAAUACAAAGAUUAGCAGAGUGUGGUGGCAGGUGCCUGUAAUCCCAGCUACUUGGGAGGCUGAGGUACGAGAAUCCCUUGAACCUGAGAGGUGGAGGUUGCAGCGAGCUGAGAUUACACCAUUGGACUUCAGCCUGGGUGACAAAGCAAGACCCUGUCUCAAAAAAAAAAAAAAAAAAUCCAAGAAAAAAGUUUUUUUAAAUAUCACAGGAGAUAAGUUUUCAAUGUGUAUAAUUUGGAAGGGGUGAGGCCAGGCACUGGAGUCUCUGCUGUGGGGCACAAGGGUGAAUUACAGACCUGGUCAGAAUCACUGAGGGACAUUCAUUCACUCAGAUUCCUGGAUCUCCUUGUUUAGAGAGCAUGGCUCAUGAAAUCUAAAUCUAAAUGUAGUCUCUACCUGGAUGGCCCAAGGCAACUGGAUUAGCACCAUGGUUCACAGAAGCAAUCCUGCUUGAUUGAAAUCCUAGUUUUGCCAGUCACCAGCUUUGGACCCUGGACAAGAAAGGAGACCCCAGUCUUUUGUUUACAGGGAGCCAGGAUCAGUCAUCCUGCUUGCACUGGUCCUUCUGUCAGUAGAGCUUCCUAGGUGCUCAUGGCUCAUGAAUUUUUCAAGGAGAAAGCACUGGAAGUAAUUUAAAAAUAUCCAGUACCAAAGAUUGCUGUCUGGAUGAGUUAAUGCUUCAUUCCUUCCACCCUUACUGGAGCCUACUGGAGUUGGCUGUCUGCGACUUCCAGGGUGGAGAAGGACAGUGCCCUUGGAACACACUCAUUCAGCCUGAACUCUGCUCUUGAGUCCGUGUCAGACACUGAAACCUCAAAUGGCUUCUGGAGGGGUGGAGGCACCGAGAAAUAGCCUAUCCACAUGGAGAACCAGAAGGAAAGACAAAUGUUUCCGUCUCAGCCACCCAGCCUCCUGUUCUUGAUGUUUCCCUAACAUAUGCUAACAUAUGCUUUCUUCAAGAACUUCAAAAACAUGCUUUUAAGCAGCAAUGAAAAUAGGACCAUGAGUCCAAUUCAAGUCUAAGCUCCAUCGUUUCCCUCUAAUACCAUUACCUCAUGUACAGAGGAAAAUGUAAAUCUGAAAUAUGCUGGUGAUUAUAACCUUUCUUCCUGACAGACAUUGUAAUAUAAAUGCACAUAAAUUGAAUUUCUUCUUUAAAGAAAUUUGAAUACCUUUGGAGCAUUUUAGCAAAUCAUCUGCAGCCCUUGUGGCACCACAUCAAUGAUCUGUGGAAAAGUGAUCUCUCUCUAGCAGACUUCUGCAAUAGAAGGAUGGAGUGGGGCUGGGACAUGCCAAGAAAAAUAGAACGCACUUUAUUGAUAUUCAAAAUUUAUUUUAUUAACCUUGCACAAAAGACAGAGACACGGGGAGCUGGUGCUAUCAGGGAAGGAGCUUCACAUAUUAACUCCCUAUGUCCUGCUCAUGUCAUCUGCCUGCCAGAAUGGGGGAAAAGGAAGAAAGAAGGGUGAUUGCAGAUUUGCAGUUUUGCUUCAUUUUGACUCUGCUUGCUGGGGCUACAUGUGGAGGCCUUGUGUUAACUAUCGAAUCAGAAAUGGGAAUAAAACUGCGUGUUAGUGGGAGGCUGCAGUGCAUCAGAUAAGAGUUCUUGGGCCCAGAUGUCCCUUGAGGGCCAGGGAAAGAAUAUUGGAGCAAUCUUAUGCUCACCAGCCUGCAUUUGAAUGAAUAUACAAUGUGGGAGCUAAGAUGUUGUGUUAGUUGGAGCUCUUCAGGGAGACAAAAUUAAUAGUAUAUAAAUAUAUAUAGUAUAUACAUAUAUACUGUGUAUAUAUAAUAGUGUAUUAUAUAUACAGUAGUGUAUCUAUUGUGUAUACUGUGUAUAUAAAUAUAUAGUAGUGCAUAAAUUGUGUAUAUAUACAUAGUAUAUAUAAUAAUGUGUGUAUAAACACUAUUAUUAGUAUAUAUACUAUUAGUAUACAUUUAUAACACAUAUAUUAUAUACAGAUAUAUAAUAUAUACCAUAGUAAAUAUACACAAUUGUUAGUAUAUAGACA